rnacentral:rRNA from 1 species
UGAUUAUCCUGGUCCCGCAAGGGGACGUGAGGGCGCAAGCUCGAGCGGAUCUGUUGACGUUUUUGCCGAGAAAAGUUCCGGCGUAUACUAAGGUGCCCGUACCGGAAACCGACACAGGUGGGUGAGUAGAAUAUACUAAGGCGCGUGAGUGAAAUCUCUUGAAGGAACUCGGCAAGUUAGCCCCGUAACUUCGGAAGAAGGGGCGCCAUCGCAAGAUGGCCGCAGUGAAAUGAGUCAACCGACUGUUUAACAAAAACACAGCUCUCUGCUAAGUCGCAAGACGACGUAUAGGGAGUGACACGUGACCAAUGCGGAAAGAUUACGGUAAGGGGUCAGCCGCAAGGCGAAGCUCUGAGCCCAAGUCCCCGUGAAUGUCGGCCGUAACUAUAACGGUCCUAAGGUAGCGAAAUUCCUUGUCGGGUAAGUUCCGACCUGCACGAAUCGUGUAACGAGUUGACUGCUGUCUCCAAGAGAAGCUCAGCGAAGUUGUAGUGGCGGUGAAGAUGCCGCCUACCCGCAGCAGGACGGAAAGACCCCGUGCACCUUUACUGUAUGCUGUUACUGGAUUUUUAUUCGGGAUACUUAGCGUAAGUGGGAGACUUUGAAGGGCGGAUUUCGGUUCGCCCUGAGUCGACGAUGAAACACCACCUUUUCUGCGUGAAGAUUCUAACCGUUAGCCCUGAAGCGGGCGGCGGGACAAUGGCAGCGGGUCAGUUUGACUGGGGCGGUUUCCUCCCAAAGAGUAACGGAGGAGUGCUAAGGUUCCCUCAGCUUGGUUGGCAAUCAAGCGACGAGCAUAUGGGUAGAUGGGAGCUUAACUGUGAGACACACACGUCGAACAGAUGCGAAAGCAGGCCCAAGUGAUCCGGUGGUAGAAUGUGGAAUUGCCAUCGCUCAACGGACAAAAGGUACGCCGGGGAUAACAGGCUUAUCGCUUCCAAGAGUUCAUAUCGACGAAGCGGUUUGGCACCUCGAUGUCGGCUCAUCGCAUCCUGGGGCUGGAGAAGGUCCCAAGGGUCCGGCUGUUCGCCGGUUAAAGCGGUACGCGAGCUGGGUUCAGAACGUCGUGAGACAGUUCGGUCCUUAUCCGCUGUGGGCGCAGGAGAUUUGAGGGGUUCAUUCCUUAGUACGAGAGGACCGGGAAUGACGAACCACUGGUGUUCCGGUUGUCGUGUCAACGGCAGCGCCGGGUAGCUAUGUUCGGAAAGGAUAAGCGCUGAAAGCAUCUAAGCGCCAAGCCUAUCCCAAGAUGAGAUCUCCCCAUUAAGAUCCAGGUAGACCACCUGGUUGAUAGGACGCAAGUGUAUAGGCAGCAAUGCCAGAGCUAAGCGUUACUAAUUAUCUGAUUGGCUUGAUCUU